rnacentral:rRNA from 1 species
GACGAACCGUGCGAGCGUUGUUCGGAAUCACUGGGCGUAAAGGGCGCGUAGGCGGCCCUUCUUGUCGCGUGUGAAAGCCCCGGGCUCAACCUGGGAAUGGCGCGCGAGACGGGGGGGCUGGAGUUCGGGAGAGGGAGGCGGAAUUCCCGGUGUAGUGGUGAAAUGCGUAGAUAUCGGGAGGAACACCAGUGGCGAAGGCGGCUUUCUGGCCCGUUCUUGACGCUGAGGCGCGAAAGCUAGGGUAGCAAACGGG